rnacentral:lncRNA from 1 species
AGUCAAUCUCAAUGUGUUUAGUUCUCUCAUGGAACACUGGAUUUGACGCAAUAUGAAGAGCAGCUUGAUUAUCACACACAAGUUCCAUCUGACUAACAUGACCAAAUUUAACUCUUUGAGCAACUGUUUGAUCCAAAUUAGCUCACAUGUCGCCAUAGCCAUUGCUCGAUAUUCUACUUCCGUACUAGACCGAGCAACCACAUUCUGUUUCUUGCUUUUCCAAUAUACCAAAUUUCCUCCUACUAAGACACAAUAUCCAGUAGUAGAACAUCUGUCAGAAGGUGAUCCUGCCCAAUCAGCAUCGGAGUACCCAACGAUCUGCUUAUGGCCUCGAUCCUCAAACAAUAAACCUUUACCUGAAGUUGACUUUAUAUACCAAAGAAUGCGAACAAUUGCACCCCACUGACUAUCACACGGAGAACCCAUAAACUGGCUCACAACACUCACAGGAAAGGAAAUGUCAGGUCUUGUCACUGUAAGAUAAUUUAAUUUACCAACUAACUGACUAUCACACGGAGAAUCCAUAAACUGGCUCACAACACUCACAUGAAAGAAAAUGACAGGUCUUGUCUCUGUAAGGUAAUUUAAUUUUCCAACCAACCGCCUAUAUCUUGCAGGAUCGUUAAGAAGCUCCCCAUGUCUUGGCAGAAGUUUAGAAUUCGGAUCCAUCGGAGUGUCAACAUGUCUACAACCGGUCAUUCCUGUCUCCUCAAGAAAAUCUAAGGUAUACUUCCGUUGUGAGAUUACAAUACCUGAGCUAGACUGAGCGACCUCAAUACCCAGAAAAUACUUAGUUUCCCCAGAUCCUUAGUCUGAAAGUGUUGAAAGAGAUGUUGCUUCAAUUUAGUAAUACCAUCUUGGUCAUUGCCGGAAAUAACAAUGUCGCCAACAUAGACCACCAGAUAAAUACAGAGACUCGAAUUAGAAUGGUUAUAGAAUACAGAGUGAUCAGCUUCACUCUGAGUCAUGUCAAAUUCCGGAUAACAGUGCUAAACUUACAUACCAUGCUCGAGCAGACUGCUUUAGACCAUAAAGUGACCGGCGCAAGCGACAUACAAGGCCAUGAGACUCCCCCUGAGCAACAAACCCAGGUGGUUGCUCCAUAUAAACUUCAUCCUCAAGGUCACCGUGUAAAAAUNNNNNNNNNNNNNNNNNNNNNNNNNNNNNNNNNNNNNNNNNNNNNNNNNNNNNNNNNNNNNNNNNNNNNNNNNNNNNNNNNNNNNNNNNNNNNNNNNNNNNNNNNNUCAAGCCCAAAUAUCUGAGUAUAUCCCUUGGCAACAAGACGAGCCUUAAGACGAUCAACCUUACCAUCUGGACCAACCUUGACUGCAUACACCUAACGAAAACAAAUAGUAGAUUUACCUGAAGGAAGACGGACGAACUCCCAAGUAUCACUCGUAUGUAAAGCAGACAUCUCGUCAUUCAUAGCCUGUCGCCACCCUGGAUGAGACAAUACUUCACCUGUAGACUUAGGGAUGAAAACAGAGCACAAAUAAGAUAGAAAAGUAUAAUAUGGUGAUGAAAAACGAUGAUAACUUAAACCGAUAUAAUGGGAAUUAGGAUUAAGGGUGGUCAGUAUACCUUUUUGAAGUGCAAUUGGAAGAGACGAAUCCGUAGUAGGAGUAGGGUCAGGUGCAUGGCGUGAAUCAGUCGGGCCGGAUACUGGGCGGGGACGACGAUGAUUUAGGAGUGGAGUUUCUGUGCUAGGGAGUCCAGAAGGAGCCAUACUAGACUCUCCAACGGUUGGAAUGGGUAAGACUUCUGUAGCAGAAGGUGAAGUAGGAGCUAUAAUAGACUCGGGUAAGACUUCUGUGGAGGAAGGUGAAGGAGGAGCUAUAGUAGACUUCCUAAAGGUCGGUAUAGGUAAAACCUCAGAUAUAUCAAGAUGGUCAGAAUAGUCAGAAGAGGUAAAGAAAGAUUUAGACUCAAAAAAUGUGACAUCAGCUGACAUAAGGUACCUACGAAGAUCGGGUGAAUAACAACGAUAUCCCUUCUGAACACGUGAAUAACCAAGGAAGACACACUUGAGAGCACGAGGAGCUAACUUAUCUUUCCCAGGAGAAUAACCAAUAAAGUCACACUUGAGAGCACGAGGAGUUAACUUAUCUUUCCCAGGAGCUAAGUUAUGAACGAAAUAAGUGCUCCCAAAAAUACGAGGGGGAACAGAGUAUAAGGGUGACUGGGGAAACAAUACCUCAUACGAAAUCUGAUUCUGGA